UUGUGAUUAUCACUUGUGCAUUAUAAUGUCUCCUGCGUACUUGGCUGACCUCCGUUGUGAUUGGCAGCCAUAGCUGAAAUUCGGUUAGGAAGGAAUCAAUUAAUCAUUAAAAAAAUAGUAAACUGUUACAAGUUUUUUUUAAUGAUUAAUACAAUUACUAUACUGACGUUUACAGGACCGUUUAAACUAAUAUUAGCUUAAAGAUACGAACACACUUGGAAAUUACGAUAUAAUCCCAUUAUACACUGUCACAAGUUGAAAUCCGAUGGACAUAGCCUGUAUUCCAAACGCAUUUUCUAAAACAAACUUCACUACAGAAUCUAAAAAUUCUACUACUUUUUUACUAUUCGCAAUAAGCAUCUCCAUAAACCUCGUUCCAGCCCUAUUCGCAAAGUUUUCCGUUGUGGGAUCGGAGUCUGUCGUUUGUGAUCCGUCAUAAUCAAUAAUAACGUAACUUAUUGCUGCUCUGCGGAUUAUCCCACAUUCUAUUACGUAUAGUAAAUCUGCCUGAAUAUAUCCUCUCUUAAGUAGCAAUUGCAGUUUCCAGUAACAUGUUCGUUGAAAAUCUAUCUGAAUUUAUUAAUGAUUCUAAAUAUUAUAAACAUUUUUCCAUUGCUGUUGGUUCCGGGGCGAAUUUUGGUGGGCACAGAACAGUGUCCUUUUAAUCUUAGGGCAUUUGGUGAUUUUUUGAAGUUAUAGCUAUUUUAAAAGUCUAAUCUAGGAGUUGGAGAGUAUACCAGUUAUUUGACAGCAUUCAUCGAAAGUUCGCGCUUCAAAUGUUUCCUAGACAGGGACGUUAUUUUAGUGGUUACUAGCCAUGAGCCUGAUGCAACUCCUAUUUUUACCAUUCUAGUCAUUUUUGGAGGAGUUCGAUUUCUAAUAUUCUUUUCCGAGUUCUCACCUCACAUGUGGAAUUAUUGUGCAAAUCAUGAUCUGAAAACAAUGGUUGACGUUAUGCGCUAUUAGUCUCUUUUGGAAAUUAUAAAAUGAAAAACAAAACAUGUUUAAAGAAUAUAAUAAAAUAUUCCGUAAGUACUUACUAAAAACUAAAUAAGUUUCUAACGUUUUCCAUAAUGUUUUGGGCAUAGCAACUAUUUCACGGAUGCGGGGUGCUUGACCUCUGAUUUUAUUAACUAAGUCCAGGAUCAACUCAAAUAUUAUGACUGAGUUUCUAAUAUUUCUUUAGGGCCUUCUACAACCCAAUUAGCGGGGUUUAUGAACUCCAAAUAACGGUCAAGUAGAUGUUACGGAAACCUAAAAGUCUCAUGUUUAUACGAGAAAAUUAGGAAGGCCUCAGUAUAGUAUUAGCUCGCUCCUAACUUCUUGAAGAGGUAAGCUAACAGUGUCGUAUCCAUAUGCCAUAUUUUAUUCCGUUUAUUAAUGGGACAUUUAGCACACAUAUUACCAUGUCGAACUAUAUUCUUGUUCUUUCUUCGGCUUCGUCUUCACAGAGUAAUAGAUGCAUGACGAUUAAAAAAGAGCUUAUGAGAGACUGUUUGAACGAAGAAAAUGUUGAGUUUCAAUUUCGAAUUAUUAUUAUAUUAAAGUACACACACGCUUUUUAUCCCCGAAGGGGUAGGCAGAAGCGCAACUGGUGUACCCACUAUUCGCCGUGUGUAUUCCGUCCCAUAAUGUUAUAGGAGCCAAGGUUAUCGCUAUAUCGGGCAUUCAUACAAUAUUCCGGUCUGAUAAUGAGUUGAAAAACCCAAUAUCACUUUGCUUGACGACCAAAGAAACCGAGACCUCAGCAGUCUACACAGUAUAUUAGUCGAGAGUCUAAAAUUUGUGUUCAAUAUGGCGAUAGGCUCGACCAAAUACAAAAAUCAUUAUAAUCCGUGCUCCCAAAUAAAUGGUAAUAAAGUCAGUAUUACAUUAGCUGUUUUUCAGGUUCCUUCUAUGUAACUAAGUCUUUAUUCCGUUGCGUGGGUAUUUUAAUAUUUAUAAGUACCUACGACUUAGCCUGGUACCACGAAGCAUAUUGCCUUUUAUCUAAAAUAUCUAGGUCAAUCUUUAAAAAACUUUUGAAAUAGUUCCAUGUUUGUUCCAUUAACUUUGUUUUUCCAGUGACUUGAGUGAAAUAUUUAAAAUUAAUUUUCAAAUUAAGUAGAUAAUUUUUAUCAAUUCAUUAUUAAAAAAUAUCAAAGAUGGCGUUUUAAUCGAGUUAUAUGGAUAAAGAUGGUUUAAAACAAAAUUAUUGGCAUUCCAAAACGGUUCUUGGUUUCUGAUUUUUUAAAAUACUCUCAGAAUUAUUUGGCUGAUAAUUCAAAGAGUAUUACUUUUUGAUAUUAUUUUUGUUUUAUUUUCUCUAUAUUUUCUACACACGUACACAAACACCGACAUGUUUAUAAUAAUAAUAAAUUAUUGUCUUUUAUGUACAAGUUGAUUAAAUAACCAUUGUUGUGUGUAUAUUUUAGUAUGUAUUCCAUUUGUGUAAGCGAAAUGACCCAGAUUGAUUUAUUUCUAUAUUAUGCAUUAACUCUGUUUAAAAACUUGCCUUGUGAGAAUCAUUUCAGAUGUUCUUCGUAGACGAACUACAAUGAAGACUCUUUUAAUAAAAGAUGACUUACCCAUCAGUUAAGAUCUAUAUACCAAGGCGGAGAUUUUGUCUCCCGAAAAGGAUUGCUAUUGAAACGAUCGAAAUCUGCUGCAGCCAGUGAACAGAGCUAGUCACAAAUCGUCAAAGCAAAAGCCAACUGACUUAAUGAAGAUUCUUUGAAGAUUACCAGGUAUAU
rnacentral:lncRNA from 1 species